GACGUAGGGCGCGAGCGUUGUCCGGAUUUAUUGGGCGUAAAGAGCUCGUAGGCGGCUUGUCGCGUCGACUGUGAAAACCCGCGGCUCAACUGCGGGCCUGCAGCCGAUACGGGCAGGCUAGAGUUCGGUAGGGGAGAUCGGAAUUCCUGGUGUAGCGGUGAAAUGCGCAGAUAUCAGGAGGAACACCGGUGGCGAAGGCGGAUCUCUGGGCCUUACCUGACGCUCAGGUGCGAAAGCUAGGGGAGCGAACAGG
rnacentral:rRNA from 1 species